rnacentral:rRNA from 1 species
AUGCAAGUCGAACGGGCACUUCGGUGCUAGUGGCAGACGGGUGAGUAACACGUGGGAACGUACCUUUCGGUUCGGAAUAAUUCAGGGAAACUUGGACUAAUACCGGAUACGCCCUUUGGGGGAAAGAUUUAUCGCCGAUAGAUCGGCCCGCGUCUGAUUAGCUAGUUGGUGAGGUAAUGGCUCACCAAGGCGACGAUCAGUAGCUGGUCUGAGAGGAUGAUCAGCCACAUUGGGACUGAGACACGGCCCAAACUCCUACGGGAGGCAGCAGUGGGGAAUAUUGGACAAUGGGCGCAAGCCUGAUCCAGCCAUGCCGCGUGUGUGAUGAAGGCCUUAGGGUUGUAAAGCACUUUUGUCCGGGAAGAUAAUGACUGUACCGGAAGAAUAAGCCCCGGCUAACUUCGUGCCGGCAGCCGCGGUAAUACGAAGGGGGCUAGCGUUGCUCAGAAUCACUGGGCGUAAAGGGCGCGUAGGCGGACUUUUAAGUCGGGGGUGAAAGCCCAGGGCUCAACCCUGGAAUUGCCUUCGAUACUGAGAGUCUUGAGUUCGGAAGAGGUUGGUGGAACUGCGAGUGUAGAGGUGAAAUUCGUAGAUAUUCGCAAGAACACCAGUGGCGAAGGCGGCCAACUGGUCCGAUACUGACGCUGAGGCGCGAAA